CGGUGUUUAACUGGCGUGAUGUGGGACGUCCUACCGGUGGGCUUAGCCUCGCGAGGGGCGGCCCAACUAAUAUCCCGUCGCGGUGCUCUUUACUGAGUGUCGAGUCGGGCCGGUACGUUUACUUUGAACAAAUUAGAGUGCUUAAAGCAGGCUAUCCUCGCCUGAAUACUGCGUGCAUGGAAUAAUGGAAUAGGACCUCGGUUCUAUUUUGUUGGUUUUCGGAACCCCGAGGUAAUGAUUAAUAGGGACAGAUGGGGGCAUUCGUAUUGUGACGUUAGAGGUGAAAUUCUUGGAUCGUCGCAAGACGGACAGAAGCGAAAGCAUUUGCCAAAAAUGUUUUCAUUAAUCAAGAACGAAAGUUAGAGGUUCGAAGGCGAUCAGAUACCGCCCUAGUUCUAACCAUAAACGAUGCCAGCUAGCGAUCCGCCGAAGUUCCUCCGAUGACUCGGCGGGCAGCUUCCGGGAAACCAAAGCUUUUGGGUUCCGGGGGAAGUAUGGUUGCAAAGCUGAAACUUAAAGGAAUUGACGGAAGGGCACCACCAGGAGUGGAGCCUGCGGCUUAAUUUGACUCAACACGGGAAACCUCACCAGGCCCAGACACCGGAAGGAUUGACAGAUUGAUAGCUCUUUCUUGAUUCGGUGGGUGGUGGUGCAUGGCCGUUCUUAGUUGGUGGAGCGAUUUGUCUGGUUAAUUCCGAUAACGAACGAGACUCUAGCCUGCUAAAUAGGCGUACCUUAUGGUAUCGCGAAGGCCCCCGGCUUCGGCCGGUGGGUUUUUACUACCAACGUACAAACAAAUCUUCUUAGAGGGACAGGCGG
rnacentral:rRNA from 1 species